rnacentral:rRNA from 1 species
GACGAACGCUGGCGGCGUGCUUAACACAUGCAAGUCGAACGGAAAGGCCCUGCUUUUGUGGGGUUCUCGAGUGGCGAACGGGUGAGUAACACGUGAGUAACCUGCCCUUGACUUUGGGAUAACUUCAGGAAACUGGGGCUAAUCCCGGAUAGGAGCUCCUGCUGCAUGGUGGGGGUUGGAAAGUUUCGGCUGUUGGGGAUGGACUCGCGGCUUAUCAGCUUGUUGGUGGGGUAGUGGCUUACCAAGGCUUUGACGGGUAGCCGGCCUGAGAGGGUGACCGGCCACAUUGGGACUGAGAUACGGCCCAGACUCCUACGGGAGGCAGCAGGGGGGAAUAUUGCACAAUGGGCGGAAGCCUGAUGCAGCAACGCCGCGUGCGGGAUGACGGCCUUCGGGUUGUAAACCGCUUUCGCCUGUGACGAAGCGUGAGUGACGGUAAUGGGUAAAGAAGCACCGGCUAACUACGUG